rnacentral:rRNA from 1 species
GUACACACCGCCCGUCGCUACUACCGAUUGAAUGGCUUAGUGAGGCUUCAAGAUUGGCGGUGCGGCGGAGGCAACUCUGCCCCGGCGCCGAGAAUUUAGUCAAACUUGGUCAUUUAGAGGUCGUAAAAGUAGUAACAAGGUUUCCGUAGGUGAACCUGCGGAAGGAUCAUUA